AAACCAGAGGCAAUAAGUAUAGCAUUCUAUUCUCUUUAGUGUCUUGGAAUCUUCAACAAAAGUUUGCCUUAUUUUGGCUAAGUAGAGAAAAUUUAUGAGCCAAGCGGGCAAUGGACAGCUGUCUAUGUAUUGUGAUUCAAUAGAAGGCUGGGCUGGGGCUCCGCCUCUAAAGUUAUAAUAUUUGCCUUCUUACUAUGGCAUCAUCUUUCUAUUGGGUUUUGGCUAGUGCACUCAAAUUGAGAACACAGCUUCACAGGCAGAACACAACACACAGAUGCAAGGUCUCCUGAUGGCAGAAAACCUUAUAACCAGAGACGGGGUUACUCCGUGUUAGCCAGGAUGGUCUCGAUCUCCUGACCUCGUGAUCCACCUGCCUUGGCCUCCCAAAGUGCUGGGAUUCUGUAAUCCCAGUGAGCCACCGCGCCUGGCCCAUCAGAUGCUUCAGGUGACUACAGCCAGCUCCAGAGGUUCCAAAGAUCUUAAAGAUGUCCCAGAAAAGUUCUAGAGUACUAUCAGAUCUCACACUUUGCCUUGGAAGCUGUCAUUCCCCUCCAUUGGCCCCACAACUGCAGUAUAAUCUUCAGUGACAGGAGAAAAUCGACCUUGUUUGUACAGAAGUCUCAGCAGGAAUAGGCAGAUGCCUGUUUUUGCUGCCAAGGAUGGAGGAUUGGAAUGGGC
rnacentral:lncRNA from 1 species